UAUUGGAGAGAAAGUUUCAGUUGCCCAACGA
rnacentral:piRNA from 1 species